rnacentral:snoRNA from 1 species
AAGACUAUUUCUAGGGGGUCCUUUUUUAAGUUUGUUACAGAGAAGUUUCUCUAGUCAUGCAGAGCACGGAAACCAUGAGAAGGAGCCAGAGUAUUCUCUCCUAAGUGUGAAGCUGGAUCUAGGUGUUGCUUCUUAAACUGCCUUUGACCGUUGACGAUCGUUCUUCUCUUCUUUUGGAAGAGUGAUAUGGAGAGGAUACAGUCUGAGUGA